rnacentral:misc_RNA from 1 species
UCAUUUGCACCCUCAAGCCCAGCUUGGUAUUGGAGGCCCGCCCCGUUGGGGCGCCCCCGAAACGCAGCGGCGACGUAGCCGGACUCCCUGGCGUAGUGACAUUUACUGUCGCCCCGGAGUGGUCGGUCGUGCGUUUGCCGGACAACGCCCAUAUUCUUUGAAUUGACCUCGGAUCAGGUAGGACUACCCGCUGAACUUAA